GCACCUCGCUUACACCGAGAAAAUGUCCAUGAAAACCGGACUAUUUCGA
rnacentral:tRNA from 1 species